CAGGCCCUAGCGGUAUGGAGGACUCAGGAGGGGAGGAGAACCCUGUGUGCCCCGCGUUCUGUGGCCUAGGCCGUGGUGAGGGUGCCUGAGUGUUUGCCCCUGGGGCUCAGGGUCCCACCGGUUGAGGCCUAGAUCCGCUGAAGGCCUGCUGUCCUCAGCCCGUCUCUGUUCCCCCUCAGCCCCUUCUAUUCUCUGACCCCGAAGAGCAAAGCGGGAUGUCCACACAGAGGCUGGUGUUUGUUUCCACGCAGCCUGCUGGCACAUUUGCCUUGUUCUUCCGGCAGCUUCUUUCUCCAGAAAGCACUGCUGGGAUUGCCAGGUUAGCAUCGGAAUGGGGAGAGGGCCACUCCUACAAUAGCAAUCCCCUGUGGACGGAAGAGAGCCAGACAUCAAAUGACGCCUUACCUUCCAACCCUGAGGCACGUUCCGCCAGGCCAGCCGGCUCGGGCCCCUCCACAGCAGGCUUAGAGCUCUGGAACUUUCCCAGGGCCUUCUCAGCCAAGACAGCAGAUCUCCUUGGGGAAGAGGUCCUAAUAACGAAGAAAGUGUGAUCGGCCUGGCCUGCGAUGGUAAAUUCUCCCCCACCGACCCUGUCUCCAAUGGCCAUCACCACCACCACCGAUGCAGGAAAAGAAAAUACUUCACAGUGAGUGGGUUAAGGCCUUUCGGUUCAGACAGGGAGGUGAGGCAGAAGCCGGGAAAGUGUUGGUUCUCUUUUCUUGUUGAGAACUGAACCACAAGAAACGGUCUGAGACGGCCACCGGAAAGAUUCUGAUUAGUUGUGGCACAGGUUUCGAGAUGUCUGCAGAGGCGAAACUGGAGUGAACGCGGCCUGUGUGAGAGCACUGAUCUUUGUGUACAUGGUGGUGGGGGCGGGGGUCGUUGCAUCCCCGAAGCCCCAUCCAGUGCUGGGCCCCGGGGGUGUACGUAAGCAAGUGUCUGAGGUGACGCACGAAAGGUUCUUUAGAAUAUCCCAAGAGACACGGGCCCCAUUUCCAAGAACCAGGCUAUCCAAAUAAAAACCCCAUCCAAAGUCCACUACCUCGUUUUAAAAGGAAGCUCUCAGUUCUUCAGUCCCGGGUCUUGGCGGCCUUACGUGAAGCCCAGACCCCGCACCGUCACAGCCUAAAAAAUACAGCGGUAUUUUUACAGGAGAUGCUCCCAGAAUGGGGCAAGACUCCACUUGUAACACAAAACCCGUGAGGAAACUUUACUUCUGUUGCCAAAUAGAGGUUCCGAUUCAAAGGGAACCAGAACAGCCAAAGAGGUUUUGCAAGAAGCAAGCCCUCUGUUGAAACCGCUGCGGGGACAUCAGGAAACUCCGAGGAAUGGCUGAAAACAGAUUUGUUCCACUGAGAACACAGGGACUUGAGCAAGGCGAGUGAGAUUGGGUGUGGGAACCUGGGCUUGUCCACAUUCUCAUUUCUAGCCUUCGUCACCGUGCGGGGCAGGGGACAAGAGGACAGACCCCCCACGUGGGACUAUGUCCUUGUGUGGUCUCCUUCCCUACCAUGAAGACAAAGCUAUACUGAUGGCAUCUGGAGAAUGAACAACCAGGAGCCAGGCGCGAAGCUGUUUGCUAGACACGGAGACACUCCCGUCCUCAGGUAACUUAUGCUGAGUGAAUCACACACACACCAGGGAGCUGCAGACAUCUGGGAACUCAGUGGCUCCAGCACUGAAGUGUCCCCAGGGGAAUUGCAAGAGACGCGUGCUGUCCUCAGGACGGUACAGGCUGUGUGACUGCAUAUUCCCAGUAGAGCCGUGAAACCAUCACCACGAUCCGAUUUUGGAACGUUUGGCAGUCAGUCUCCACCCCACGCACACACCCCCACGCGCACCCCCAGCCCUAAACAACCACUCACCGAUCGGCUUCCUGUUCCUAUCAAUUUGCCUCCAGAGACGAAUUCUGGACAUUUCAUAUCCAUGAAAUCAGAAACGUGUGGUCUCUUAGGACCGCCUGCUCUCACUUAGCACAACGUUUGCAAGGGUCAUCCGUGUGGCAGCGCGUGCUAGGACUUCAUUUCUACUUCUUGCUGGAUAACGUGCCAUCGUGCGGAUCUGUCACAGUUCGUUUAUCCCCUCGGCAUCUGAUGGACAUUGGGUCGUCUUCACUUCGCGGCUAUUGUAAAUAGUGCCGCUAAAAACACUCACGUAAUUUGUGUGCGCGUGGAUGACGCUUUCAUUUUCUUGGGCUCACACCUACGAGUGGACUUUCUGGGUCAUAUGGUGGGUAAUGCUACGACUAACUUUAACCUGAUGCCCCUUGGUGAUUAUUUAAGAUCCUUCCUGUUAGGAAAAUAAUUGGUCAGAACAUACGGGCCUCUUUGAGGAUGCUGAUGCAUGGUGACAAAUAACACGCCUCAAAAUUAUACCAGCUUCUGCUGCCUUAACCGUGAAAAUGUGGGGUCCAGAGGCUCUUUAGGGCUCAGACCCACAGCCAUCCCAUCUCUGUUUGGACCUGCAGGGUCUCCCACGGCAGCCCGCUGGACAAGGCUUAGUAGAAGGAGCCAGAAGGUCUGGGUUCCUCUCCCAGGCCUGCUUCUCGCUGCUGGAUGGGCCACCCGGAGGAAGUUAUCUCUUCCUUGGCGAAAGGAAGAGAAUCCCAGGAAACUCCUCCCUCCCCUGGGAUGAAAGGGGCCCUCAGUGCUGCAGCCACGGCCUGUGGGGUUCUCUCCUGAAUGUCCCUGAAUGUCCCCCCACCCCAAGGCCGGUGUCUUCCUGGAGGCCGAGUGGACAGGCCGCCCCACGGGUCCGCCCGGUCGGCCGGCGGUCCACGCGCUAAGGGGCUGAGGGGAGCCCGUGUCUCUGGCCCGGUCCACAGUGCCCGUGCCUGGACGGUGACCGGGGUUCAAAGUCUCUACCGCAAGCCCCGCGGAGCAUCUGUCCCAGGGUUUAUGGGAGAUUGCACCUGCCUUCAGGGUGCUGAGAAAGUUAUCAGAGGCCUGGAACCGGGAAUCCGGCCUGGGGCCUGGUGUCAAGAUCCCAUCAGAAUGAGACACGCGUCCCAACCCUCGUGUGGGGGCCACAGGGCGGACAGGGUCAAACGGACACACCCCUCGUCCGGAGAGACAUCUGUUCCCGCCAGAGGAGACCUGAACGCUAGCUCGAUUUGUCUUGCUAGGCACAGAGGGCUCAUUCGAGAGAUGCAGAUACUUAGCUGGGAUGUGCUGUUAGGUGUAAGCGUCUGCCACGUCCUGGGCACGUGACACGCGUCACUGGUAGUCCUCACGGCAAUCUUGAGGGUAGGCCUUGCGCCUAUUUCCCAGGGAAGAAACUGACAUUCAGAGAGGUUAAGUAACUUGCCUGGGGCGCUGAAGCCAGAAGGCAGCAAAGCAGGGCUCAAAGCCGGGUCUGGCCCGUGCUGACAUCCGUGACGCUCUUUUCGUUUCAUGACGACGUCGGGGAUGUGACCUGGGACCCACCGACGGGUCUUCCCCCGGGCCAGGAAGGACCCGCCAUGGGCCGGGUGGUGAGCGGCGGGAGAGGAGAGGGCGAGCGUGCUGAGGUCCUGGCCCCACCAGAGCCCGCGGGGGACCCACCCGAGCGCCCUCCCGGGCCCUGACGGUCUGGCCCCCCUCGUGUCGCUUCCCCCUCUUCCCCUGCAAAGCGCCUUGUGAAACGGGUUUCGCCUUCCAGCUCAGCUCUUGAGCCGAGGGAAGCUCUCGGGCCUCCUCGGGGUGUCUGUUGUUGGUGACAGGAACCGCUCGUGAUGAGUCACCCCCAGAGCAGUGUAUCAAAGAGCGGGGCAGAGGCGGGUGGGUCUGGAGAGCGGCCGGUGUCAGCUCCGGGAAGCCGGCUGCUGGCGUGAGUCUGUGUGUGGGACAGAGGACAGUCCCCCAGGGAAGGAGCCUCGGGUCAGACCGCUGGCUGAGCAGAAGGCAGUCACGCGGCGCUGAAGAAAGCCAUCUCCAUCUGUGUCUGGGAGCCAGGGUGCCACAGGGUGCCACAGGGUGCCAUCUGUGUCUGGGAGGUCAGGGCACCGCUCCUGACCCGCGAGGCCCGGCCAGGGGCCCCCGGGGGGGCAGGGCCGGCUGCCGGUGGU